rnacentral:rRNA from 1 species
UACGUAGGGUCCGAGCGUUGUCCGGAAUUACUGGCGUAAAGCGCGCGCAGGCGGCCCGCGAGGUGUCACGUGAAAGCCCCGGGCUCAACCCGGGGAGGGUCGUGGCAAACCGGCGGCUUGAGGCCGGUAGAGGUGGGUGGAACUCCUGGUGGAGUGGUGAAUGCGUAGAGAUCAGGAAGAACACCCGUGGCGAAGGCGGCCCACUGGGCCGGUACUGACGCUGAGGCGCGA